GGAGGUAGUGACAAUAAAUCACAAUGCGGGACUUCUGUUUCGCAAUUGGAUUGAGAACAACGCACAACACUUAUCGAUAAACAAUUGGAGGGCAAGUCUGGUGCCAGCAGCCGCGGUAAUUCCAGCUCCAAUAGCGUAUAUUAACGUUGUUGCAGUUAAAAAGCUCGUAGUUGAAGUGAAGUAAUGAGGUUGUGAUUUGAAAUUUUUCAUUUCGCUUCUUAAUUACUCUUUCCAAAUUGUUUGCAUGGGUAUUCAUUUAUCUGUGUAUUGCAUUUGGUCAUUUACUGUGAGAAAAUUAGAGUGUUCAAAGCAUACGUUUGUUUGAAUACAUUAGCAUGGAAUAAUUCGAAAAGGCUUUCAUGUUCGAUUUGAUUGGUUUGUUCGUGAGAGCAAGAUUAAAAGGGACAGUUGGGGGUAUUCAUAUUCAAUAGUCAGAGGUGAAAUUCUCGGAUUUAUGGAAGAUGAACAA
rnacentral:rRNA from 1 species